UUCCUUGUAGAUUCUGGAUAUUAGUCCUUUGUCAGAUGAAUAGAUUGCAAAAAUUUUCUCCCAUUCUGUAGGUUGCCUGUUCACUCUGAUGGUAGUUUCUUUUGCU